GUCCUGAGGGAACCCAGCUGCCACUCCUGAGACACCACACAGAGGGGCCUCGUGGGGAGUGACCAGGUGACAAUGCCUGAGAUGCUGCACGGAGGGCCUCAUGGCGGGUAACUGCGUGGCCCGAAGCCAGGGAGGAACCUCAAGGGGCCAGCAGUCACCAGGGAGCGUGGACAUGUUCCCAGAGCCCGGGUGAACCUUCCAGGGACCACAAACUCACGGCCAUGCUGUCUGCAAGUCCUCACCUCAGACGCAUGGGGUGGUGAACAUUCGUGGCUUGAGGCUGCUAAGUUUUGGGGCUGUCUGUGUGACGACAAAGCUGCAGGCCCCAAGACAGAGAAAACCAUCUGGCAGCUGGUCCUUCUGAUAAAAGACCCAAGAAACCGCAUAGAUCGUCAAGGAGGGAGACCCGGGAGAAAACCCAGGUGCCCGCCACUCCAGCGCCAGGGCCACCGGGGUCCCCCAGAGGCACCCCAUCAGCCGUGGACCCGGGCGGGGCUGUCUCCUGCUGCCCCCGUCGCCUGGUCAGACAGACUGCGUGGAACCGCAGGUUUCACGGGACUUCGCAGGAAGGAGCUGCUGCCACAAUUCUUACAAACCUCAGGUCGUCUUCAGAAAGCAGCAUCAGGUGGGGCGUUUGGACGCACAGGAGGAGCCACACCGAUGGUCCCACAGACGGAGAGCUUGGGCCGGGCCCCAGACUGGGCCUCUCCCUAGAGGAGACCAAGAGGCAAGAAAAUGGAGGCCCCAGGGAGCCGCACACUCGAGAUGGGUGAGAAUCGAAUCCCGGUCAGCCUUGCCCUCCCACUCCAGCCGGGUCACUGGCAUCCUCACCCCCCAAAGCCCAGCAAACACCACACCGCACCUGGGCUCCUGUAAACGUGGUCCCUGCAGUGUUGGGGUGUGCUCACAAGCGUGCAUGGUGUGUGCCUUUUCCUGCAGUGUUGGGGUGUGUGCAUGAGCGUGCAUGGUGUGUGUGCAUGUGCCUCUCCCUGCAGCAUUGGGGGGUGUGUGCACAGGCAUGCAUGGUGUGUGUGCGUGUGCCUUUCCCUACAGUGUUGGGGCGUGUGCACGAGCGUGCAUGGUGUGUGUAUGUGUGCCUUUCCCUGCAAUGUUGGGGGGUUGUGCACGAGCGUGCAUGGUGUGUGUGUGCAUAUGCCUUUCCCUGCAGUGUUGCUGGUCCCAGCGUCUCCUCCUGACGUGGGUUCGAGUUAGCUUUUCAUCUAUAACCCAGUAGAUGAGGCAGGAGGGGCCCCAAGACAUUCUGGUCAGUGUCCCAGACCCCGCUUUCUGGGAUGCUAGGCCCCAGGCCGGGCCCGGACAAGGCUAGGUGGAGAUACUUCUUCCCAUGGCUCUUCCGUCCACAGGGCGGGUGGGUAUCAGCGUGGUUCGGGGUGGCCCAGGGCCUUGUCCUGAAGGUGUGUUUGCAAGGUCAGCACCCUUCUGACUUAAAUGGUCUGUUUAUCUGGCGCCUUUGGGGGCUGAUGAGACUCGGGGCUGAGGAGACCCCACACCGCCCGCCGGCCCAGCAGUGCCCGUGGGUUUGCUUGGGUCCCUGGCAUGAUUGAAGGAGCUCACAGUGGCUCGCUUGGGGCACUUGCAGGCCUGGGCAUGCAGGCAGGUUCUGGAGUGAGUGCGGGUCGUGCCCAGCACUCGGGGACCUCUCUGGAGUUCACAAUCCUCGGUGCUCCUCACCCCCAAUGCUGCUGCUCACACGGCGGACGGAACGUGGCCUGGCCGCUCCCCUCCACGGGUGUCCCCAGGGUGCCCUGCCAGGCACACUGCGGUGCCAGCCCUGACCUGGAGCGAGCUGCCGUUUCCCACCCUCUUGCUUGCCUUCCUCUGAGAGCAAACUCUAGUUCUUUCUUCUCGGCUGAGGGAUCAACAGAAAAAGCUAAAAUGAGGCAAAGAGAUAGAAGAAUCUCCAGGGCGGACCGUGGAAGGAAAGGACUUGCUUUCAUGACCCGAGAACGCUGCCUGCACUAAAGAAACUUCGCCAGAAAAGCCAAUGUUUUCACUCAUGGCACAAAGUACAAAGAAUGCAAGCACAUGCUCAUCCUGAGGCCGGGGCUCCUGCAGGAACACGAGACCCGCUGUUCCUCCCAAUGAACCCGAGAGGGAGGAGACAGGCCAGGGUGUUGAGCACGGGUCAGGGCAGACAAGAGAAUUUGGCAAAAAUAAGGAAAUUUGGCCCUUUGCCCCCAGGCUGUGGGCUGCUGGAACAGCAAGAAAAUCGAAGGCUAGAGGGGCCUCCAAAAGCACGGUCACAGUGCUCCCGGGGCCCCAGGAGCCACCCCUCCCAUCCGCUUCGGAGGUUCAGCCUGGUCGGUGUCAGCUUAGUUUUCCUGGGUCUCGAGCCGCUGCAGGGCUGGCAUCUGUCUCCUGGGCGCGUGCUCGGCUGCUCCCAGUGCCCUUCAGUUAAGCCGGAGAUGAACCUCCGCGCAGCGGGAGCCGUUUCCUCCAGGCAGCCCAGGCGCGGGGUCCCGGAGCGCUGUCCGCACGGCUCCUACACCGGCUCCAGGUGUGAGGCCACGGCUCUGACGGGUGCCUUCCCGACCGGCUCCUUCCUCGUCCCGCUGCCCCUCACCGUGUGCAGCAGGGAAGGCGGGUUCAGCCCAUCGGGAGUCCCACUGCUCAGGGCCAGCUCCAGGUGAUCAAUACGGGUCGCCAGGCACCAGGGACCCAGGGGCUGACGGGAGGACCACUGGUUCACUUUCCAGGUGUUUCCAUCUCCAGGCUGAAUUUCGAUAUUCCUGAUGUUCUGAGACGGACUAAGUGGUUGGCCCCGGAAGGUGCUAGAAGGCACGACCACUCUGACUUGUUCUCUGAUGACAAGUAAAGCCAAGACAGACGGGGCCCCGUAGCCCCCGAUGGUGCUGGGGGUCACCCAGGCCUGCGUCUGCCCCUCAGCCCUGCAGGUUCCAGCUCAGACCGGGCAGUCUGGGGUCAUGGAAACUCAGCCGGUUUGGGCAUGAUGGCCAGGGUUGGCUGCCAGGUUCUCAUGCGGCCUGGAGCAGGGUGAGCCGCUCUGCUCUGUGCGGGGCCAGAGCCCACACCAAACAUGACGGCCGUGGCCCCAUGUCCAGCCCUCAGGCCAUGCCCAGGACGCAGCACAUCCUGUCCUGGGUGUCGAGGGCCUGCUUCAUGCCAGGCUGUGCCGCCAGCUCCCCUUGUCCAGCCUCCUUCAGGGUCCGAGAACAGCUGGCUGACGGGGACUCGGGGCGUCCCACCAGAGCUCAUCCCUGAGAUUUGGCUCAGGAGCUCCACUCCCACCGCAGUGCCCAGGAGCCCCAGCCCGCAGCAGCAGCACCCCGUGAGCACGGAUGCCACUGCUCAGGCAGCCGCUCCCAUUAAGACGAAGUGAAAGGGGGGCAGCCUCGGGGUGUGGGGCCUUCGAGAUUAACAAACUCCAAGCAGGCCUAAGACUCUGUCAAUCCCCCAGAUCCACUGAGGAUCCUUGAGUCCAGAGUCCAGGGAGAGAGGGUGGGGCAAAGGCCCCUUGAACCGGCUCUGAGCCCAGUUCUGGGCCGGGGACAUCUGCAGCAUCCAGGGACAAUUUUGACAGUCAGUAGGGUGGGAGGGGCCAGGGAAGCUGCUCAGUGUCUGUGGUGGGCUGAAGGGUGGCCCCAAAGAUGUGUCCCUGUCCAAACCCCACUACAUGCGUGUGGGACCUCGUUUGGAAGGGGGUGUCUGUGGAUGUGGUUAAGUUAAGGACCUGGAGAUAAGACCAUCAUGGAUUUCCAAGGGGCCUCAAAUCCCAUGACAGGUGUCCAUAUGAGACACGCAGGGGAGGCCACGUGAAGACCAAGACAGAGGUUGGGGAGAUGCGGCCCAGAGAUGCCUGGAGCCCCAGGAGCUGGAAGAGGCAGGAAGGACCCUCCCCCAGAGCCUCAGAGAGAGCAUGGCCCUGGGACACCCUGGUCUUGGAGCACCCAAGCUCCAGGACAGAAGCAGCGUGAACAGGGCACCACCCCUGGGGAGGGAGGUCGCCAUCCGGCAGGGCUGGUACCACUCGGCAUCCACAGAGCCGCCCAACAGAGAGUGUAGGGUCAGGGCUGGAGACACGGGGUUCAGGCCCAGCCCCGCCUGCCUGGCUCUCAAUGUCCUCAUCCGUCAAAUGAAAGACCUCAGGGGCAGGAGGCAGAUCCAGUGAAAGCUACCACCCACCACCUCUAUGUGAGAAAGUGGGGCGCUUGGGGGCUGUGCUUGCCAGGGCUGGGUCCCAGGCCUAUGACAGGGAAAGCCCCCAGCCCACGUGGGCCCAGGGGUGCUGGGUACGCUCAGCUUCCUGACCUGUUAAGUAACUCAACUCCACGAUAGCACUUUGAGCCGGAUCUGCCACUGCACUCCUAGAUGGGGAAACUGAGGCACACAGGGAUGAAGGGCUUGCCGAGGUCACUAAGGCGGGAAGAGGCAGCGCCCAGUGUCAGCCCAGGCCCUGGGCGCAGCCAUGCCGUCCUCACACCAGAGCCCUCUGUGGCCUUGGCCAGGCCUAGUGACUCAGAAUCUGCACAUGCCAGCCUCUCCUGGGUGGCGGUCAGCGCCCAGCACUCAGUGACACCCAGCCCCAUAGUGGACAGUGAGCUGCUGUGUCCACUGGCCUUCCUGGCUCCUGGCAGCACUGACCCUGCUCAGGCAGGGCUGGGGCAUCUGCAUGACCCGAGGGGCCCAGGCAGAUGUCCCCACGCAGGUGCCCACUGUGAGCGCAGGAGUGUCCUGGGCCCCGGGCCUCCUGUCAAGCGCCCUGUGAGUGCACCGCAGGUGGCCCUGGAGGCCUCGGGCCAGUGGGGGAUCAGCCCUCCCUGUUGCAGAGAGCUGGUAGAGCCACAGCCCCUCCCUGCACCCUGGCAGGAGGUGCGUGUCCUGGGGGGCCCAGGCCACAGCGAGGGAGCAGCCGGACCAGCAGGGUCCAGCCACUUGUGGGGGCUGUGGUCCUUGUCGGGGCUGUGGGUUCCAGGCACGAUGGAGCAAGACCCACAGGCCGAGCAGCCCGGGGCUGGAGUGUUGUGGGGCCGUUUAGAGAAACUCCCUCCCUGUCGGCCCAGAACUCAGGCAGCAGCCAGUGCCCCUCGGCUGCCUGGCCCUCCAGCUGGGCGCAAACGUGACCAACGCCCUGGGGCCCCAGGUGCCCCUGCUACCCCUGAGUCCCAGCCAGUCCACCUGGUCUCCAGAACCUUCUCGACCCUCCGCCUGCUGGGCUUCCCCUCCGCGCCUCCCAAUGCUUUUGCAAAGUGCAAUAAGAUGAAUUAGCAGAAAAGGGAUGGGCAGCCUGGAGUCGCAACCACGCCAGCCAGCAUCACAGCGUCCAAAUGUGCGUCUCCGGCACCAGGGAUGUCAUGGCUGUCACAGCCGCAGAGAGCUGGCUGCAGGACCUCAAGGCCGAGGAGGAGCAGGUGCGGGGCCUGCGGCAACCCUGGCAGGAAGGGCGCCGGCUGAAGCUCUGAGCUCGGGCUGCAGUCCUGGGUCCCAGCAGGCUAUCUGGGAGGAACGAUCUGUGGUGGAUAAGAAAACAAGUGCUGGGGCCCUACCCGGGCUCAGGACGACUCACAAGUCCCUUCCGUGCACUGGCUCCAGAUGCGCACUCCACUCAGACACCCAUCGUCAGGGACCUUGUUGGAGCCCCCAUCAAGCACCGGGAAGACGAGCUGGGGCCCCGGACACUCCUCUCUAGCAGCCCGAAUGCACCCCCCCGCCCCUGUCCAGGAAGACGCCUGCCAUGGCCACCCCACUUGGCCACUCUGUGCAAACGCCCCGUGUGGUCUCCCCAAAGGGUCUGCUCUGUUUGGGGCGAGUGGAGGGGGGGCUCUGACCCCAAGAAACGUCCUCCCACGAGAUGUGGAGGCCAUGCACACCCUGCCCUGCCACCCUCCCUUCCUUUCCUUGGACAGCGGCAGAGGCCGAGUAUACGCGGGGACUGGACAGUCCACGGCUCAGGCCACGUCCUUCUGCCCCAGCCCCUGCCAGCACUGACUGGCCACCCAACACAUAGGUGAGGGUCCAGCACUGGCCCGAGCCCUGGAGAGAGCAGCAGAGAUGACAUUGUCCGCCCUCGGGGCUCCGGGAGAGCUCACCUGCGUGGGAGCUUGGCUGAGCCGUCAGGGAACAGGGUCCAGGCUCAGCUGCCACACGUCCCUCUCCUGGCAGAGGCACAAGGGGACAGGACCUCCUGUCUCUCUGCAGACCCGGCUCCGUGACCGACCUGUGGUGGGGGAGUGGGGCCCUUGGCUGAGAGAGGAGCCCCGGAGUGUCUUGGCCCUUCUGGCCAGCCUGUGCUGUCCUGGACAGCCCUGAGGCAUGAAGUAACCAGUUGUUGGUUCAGCUAGAGUGCUCUGGGGGGUCUGCCCUCGUGCCCUUCCUACAGCUGACCUGUGUGUACCGCCGAGCACCGCGGGUCAGGCACCCUGGCCACCACGUUCACUUGUUUGAUGCCUUUGAUAUGUGGACAAGAGGGCCGUGCCCCUGCUGAAGCCCACAGACAGGCGAAUGCAGGGCCUGAGCGGCCAGGCUCGGAGCCAUGUGGCUGUGGUGCCAGGCGCUGGGAGAGCCCUGAGCUGUGAGAGGUCCUUCCGCAAGUGGGAGGCAGGUGGACUGGGAUGCGUCUCCCAGGAUUCUGAUGAGAGGGAGGAAAUCCCGACAGGUGUUUCCGGCUGCUGUCAUCAGCACUGGCCUUGGCGGCUCACGUUUCCCUCUGAGAUGCAGCAGCACAGGACGGGGCCGUGGGCGAGGGAGGGAUCUGGAGAACAGACAGUAUUUGCACAGGUUUAGCUCUGAGCCGAGGGUCUGCCUCAGAACUCUGCCUUGGCCGUGUGGCAAACCUCUUCGUAUCCAUCCCCUGACGGUCUACACCGCAGUCUGGUGCUUAUCCUGGAAGCUGGCGGCUCACACCUCCAUCAUACCUGGACCUUCCCAGGCCAGGAUGGGCUGCUUCCAGCCAUGACAGUGGGAUGCAGCAGGGACCCCCUAGGAGGACAGCACCAGUCACAUUAAAUCAUUCGUGUUGUUUGUGGGUGGAUUAGUCAGCUCGGUAGCUGUAACAAAAUACCCCAGGCUGGUGGCUUCAACAGCAGACACUUACUUCUCACAGUUCUGGAGGCUGGAAGGUCUAAGAUUCACACACGUGAUUCUAAUGCAGCCAUAAGCUGGCCAUUGAGCACAGCCACGUGGCACCCAGAUCACUGGGCCAAACGUCCCACGUCCCACGGCCCCCACGGUCUGGCAGCACCAUGUCCCCCACGACCCCCAUGGAUCCACGGCCCCCAUGGUCCCACAGCUUCAUGGCCCCCACGACCCCCAUGGUCCCACAGCUUCACAGCCCCCAUGGUCCCCACGGCCCCCAUGGCCCUACGGCCACCACAGUCCCAUGGUCCCACGGCCUCCAUGACGCCAAUGGCCCCUCGGCCCCACGGCCCCAGCUCUCUGCUCACAGACCUCCUUUCAGCAUUUUCACCAGACGGUUUUAGUCCUGUCGCACAUUUCAGUUGCUAUCAGUCUAUGAACACAGACUUCUCAUUUGCACCCCAUUCUGAUUCCCUUGGGAAGUUCUUUGCCCACGUCCUGGGUCCUGAUUGCAUGGAGAGCACGCGGGGUCUGCCUGCAAGAAGGCCCUGUCGCUGCUGCCCCGCGUGCCAUCGAAAGCACGUGCCUAGGGAGGGAGAGAUCUGAAAGUUGUCAGCACUGGGUACAGCCAAAGCCAUGGCCUCGAGGCUCAGCCCCGAGGAGUCGGCCUGGGGGAGGAGAAGAGGCCAGAGCCUGAGAAAGAGCAGGUGGGGGGAGCGGACAGCAGGCUCUUCCCACCUCCUCAAACACUUCCUGAAGACCAAACGAGAAAAUCACAGGGCAACACAAAAACCCAUGGACAGCCGCCUCCAGGUCUGGACACCCACCCCCAGCACACCACGACUGGCAAGGGGUCAGCGAAUGCCAGGGGCAUGGGGAGCCAAGACGCCCAGGAUAGGCCUGGGCCGUGUACCCCAAAUCACCAAUAACACUCACCCCGAAAGGAGCAGACACCAGGACUGGACCUGCGUACACAGAUGCAGGAGGCCCGUGAAACCGGGAGACCCACCUGGGAAUGCAGAACCUGCAUGUGACGUCGCCUAGUCCCCGAGGGCUGCAGGAACGCCCGGAAAACCUCCCUCUGGAGGACAGACAGACUCUCACCUGGACCGAGCAGAGCAGGGCGUGGGUCUGGGCCAGAAGAAGCUGCAGGUCAGGGGGGCCUGGAGGGCAGAGGACAGAGUGAGGACAGUGCCACACGGCCGAGCCAGAGCAGCACUCUGCAAUCAAGGCCACUUCCUGGCAUCUUCCUGAGGACUCAGUGCAGAAGGCAGGGCCACACUCCAGGGGGACCCGUCUGAGUCCUUCUGUGAUGGCCGAGAGAAGACCUGGCUGGUGAGGACACUGCCUUCCCGGCCACCGCCCAGGACCCCCAGAUCAUCACGUGGAAACCCAUCCAUGUGCACAGGAGGGACAGACCACACGCUCAGACACAUGCGUGUGCACACACACAUACUCACCUUAUUCUUAGAUUCUUUCUCGUUGUUAUUUCUGAAAUUGCUUUCAUUUCUUGCAGUGUUUCCUAAUUUCUGUCGGCUGCUUCACGUUUAACAGCACUGCUUCCAGCUCCUCCAUUUCUGACUUGUACUCUUGUGUCAAAGCUUGGUUACCACCUAAUUACUUUUAAUUCAUUUUGAAAUGUUAGGAUACAAUUUUCAUCUGCUUUUCAGUCAUGUAUUUCUAUGUUUUUGUUGUCUGUUAGAAUAUUUUUUAAUUCUUUUUUUAUUCUAACGACUUUCACGGGGUUACACGGCAGUCCCGGUGUACAUGCGUGUGGUAUGUGUGGUGUAUGUUCUUGUGUGUACAUGUGUAUGUAUUUGGAAUCUUCAGAAACAAAAAGAAGAACAAGAACUCAGAACUGUAGUUCAGGAACACAUAGAGAAGACUAAAGACACACAGAGCCCGGGAAACCAAGCCUGAACAGUCAGCACCAACAUACAUCCUCAUACACUGUUGGGCCCUAAUGAUAAGGGAAAAACUCACUUUGAACAUUGAUGCAAAAAAAAAAAAAAUCCAAAUUUAUUGACCAAGGAAAGAACAUAAGGUUGGCAUCAAAUGGCUCAGUAACAACUCUCUGCUGGAAAACAAUGGAGCUGUGUUUUAAAGAUGCUCUAGGGAGGGAAACAUGGGCCAAGAAUGCAGACCCAGCCGGGUAUCCUGCGAGAACAAAGGCAGAAGAGUUGUCAAUACGGAAACACGGAGGGAGUGUCACCCCUUCCUGAAGAAUUUACUAAAGAACUAACUUCCGACAACCACAGGACAAUGGGAGACGCUUCCGCCCAGGUUCUGAGGCUGGGCCUGAGACGCAUGUACUCAUGGAGCCGAGCCCAAGGCAUCGAGAGGACAGGAACAAGGUGGAUGCACACGUCACAGGGUUAGGAAUACAGAAACAGUGCCGCUGACAAAGAACAGAGUGAGCUUCACAAGGGCCGCACAGUGUUUCCCUGGGAGAGGAUGCCACCCAGGCCGACACGUCUGCAGCAGAAGUCUCAGCUGAUUUAGAAGGACGAUGAUGAACACUGAGACAUCUGAAGUCCAAGCCCAAAUGGCGAAAAUAGGCUAAAACGGAGGACCACAGAAUGCUCAAGUAACUCAAAAGGAGGGGGGAAAUGGGAAGCAGAGGAGUGAGGGAGAAAGGGAAAGACAAAAGCACAUAGUGAAAUGCCACCUAAAUCCCAGGAAACAAUGACAGUAAAUCUAAGUGGUCCAAACAUACCAGUUAGUAACAGAUAUUCACAACGAAGUUAAAAGUGACCACAGUAUACACUGUCUCCAAAACAACUUACUUGAAAUACAAUGAUUUGGUAGACUAACAAGAAGUCAGAGGAUGUGUAAUGUGAAUACUAAUCAAAUAGAUGCUGAAGUGACUGUGAUGACAUCAGACAAGUAGAUCUCAUAACAAAGAAAAUCACCAGGGACAAACACAGCAUGACAGAACGAUUAAAGAAAAAGAAAAGUGAAUUCACCCAGAAGACAUAACAAUCCGAAAUGCAUAUGAACCUGACAAGAGAGACUCAGGAUAUAUGAGGCAGAAAUCGAUGGAGCUGAAAGGAGAAAUAAACAAAUCCACAGCCAUAGUCAGAGGCUUCAAUAGUCCUCUUCCAAAAAGUGAUAGAGGCAGUGAAAAGAAAACCAGCAAAGAGACAGAAAACCGAGCGUUCUGAACCAACUGGAGCCAGUCGACACCUGCACAACACUCCACGUGACAGCAGAAGGCACAUUCUCUCCACGUGCCCAUCCACACGCACCCAGAUAGACCGUACCCCAGCCACAGAACAGACUCUGACAAAUAUGAAACAGUUUUGUCACAUAGAGUGUGUUCUCUGAUGGUGAUGGACUUAGACUAGAAAUCAAUAACAGGAAAAUCUCCAAAUGCCUAGAAAUUUGACAACAUUUUACCAGAUGACCCUUGGGUCAAAGAGGAAGUCUCAAAGGAAAAUUUUAAACAUUUUCAAUGAAAAUGAAAACACAACGUAUCAAAAUUUGGGGGAUGCAGCUAAAACAAUGCUUAGAAGGAAAUUCACGGCAUUAAAUCCUUAUGUUAUGCUAUCACAGGAAUAUAAAUAAUCUAAACCUCCUCCUCAAGAAACAAAGGGGAAAGAAGGAAAUAAUCACAAGCAUGCAGGGAGGGAAAUAAUGAAGAAAAGAGCAGAAAUUGGUGCAAUUGAAAGGGAAGAAUGACAUAAAAAAUUAACGACAUGAGUUUUUAAAAGAUCAAUAUAAUUAAUGAACACCGAUCAAGACUGACCAAGACAGAAAGGAGAAGACAGGCUCACUAUGUGGACUGAAGGGGCCGUCACAGGCGUUAGAAGACGACGAGAGGACUGUGACCAGUCCUGCGCAUAUAAAGCCAACUCUUUAGUGAAAUAGACCAAUUCCUUGAAAGCUACAACUCACCAAAACUCAUCUAAGAAGAAAAAAAAUCUGAACAGUACCAUCACUAUUAAAGAAAGUGAAUCUGUAACUUAAAACUUUCCAAAAAAUAAAUUUCCAGGCACAGAUGGUUUCAUUGGUGAAUUCUACUGAACUUCUAGAGAAAGAUUUAGAUCAAUGUUGUCUAGGCUCUUACAGAAAACAGAAGAGCGAGCAAGGCUUUGCACUUAUUACAUUUGGCCAACAUUGCCAAGGCAUGACCUUACAAGAAAAGGAAAACUAUGGCCUAUUAUUAACACAGACACAAAAACUCUAAACGAAAUAUCAGCAAACUGAAUCCAGAAAUAUCAACAAAAAAUACACAACCAAGGGGGAUUUUUUUGGAAAUGCAAGGCUGGUUUAAUAUUUGAAAAUCAAUUAACAUAAUGCACUAUAUUAACAGUCUUUCAAAAAUGAUAUUGAUUGUUGAAGAAAAAGUAUUUGAAAAAUUUAACAUCUAUUCUUGAUAAAAACUCUCAGCAAACUAAAAAUAGAAAACAGAACUUCCUCAUCCUAAUAAAGAGCAUCUAUGGAAAACCUACAGUUAGCCUCAUUUCUGUUACAAUGUCUCUGAUUUCUAGCAUUUCGUUUGACUCCUAGAUAUCCAAUGGUAGAGACUGGAUGCUUCCCCCCAGGACCUGGAAUAAGGUGAGAAUGUCUGCUCUCUCCACUUCUGUCACCACUGCAUUGCAGGUUUGAGCCAAGAGAUAAGAAAAAGAAAUAAAAGAUAGCCAGAUUAGAAACCAAGAAAUUAAAAUAUCUUUAGUUGCAGACAACAUGACCACCUAUGUAGAAAACUAGAUUAAAUCUAAGGAAAAGCUACUAAAACUAAAAAGUGAGUUUAACGAGCUCACAAGAUAUGAGAUCAAUAAACAAAAAUCAUAUAUCUAUAUACUAGUUAUGAACAAUUGAAAAACUAAAUUUUAAAAAACAAUACAACACAAUAGCUCAAAAAUUAUAUAUAUAGAUACAAAUCUAAGAAAACACGUACAGGAUCUGUAUGCUGAAAACCACAAAAUGCUGAUGAAAGAGAUCAAAGAACUAAAUAAGUGGAGAGGCAUACCAUGUUCACAGACCAGAAGACUCAGCAUGGAGCAGAUGUCAAUUUUCCCUACCUGAAUCCAUAGAUUUAAAGCAAUUUCCAAAAAAGAAAAACAACAACUCUGUAACACUUUUUUAUAAAUAAAUGAAAGCUCAUUCUAAAAUUUAUAGGGAAAGAUAAAGGAAUUAAAGUAGCCAAAACAACUUCUAAAGUGAAGAACCGUAUUUGAUUUUAAGACUGACUAUGCAGCUACAGUGACCAAGACAGGUAUUGGCAGAGAGGCACAGAGAAUAGAUAGUCUGGAGAAGACAGGCAAGUCGGCCAAUCAAAGUUUGAAAAAGUACAAAGGCGAUGCAAUGGAGAAAGGAUAGUCUUUUAAUCAAACGGAAUUGAAACCACUAGACAUACGUAGGCAACCACCACUCCCACCUCCCCCACCAAAAAAAACUUGUCCUAAACCUCACACUUUUGUAUUAAUCAUGCUUUCCUAUUUCCUUAUCUUAUGACGUUUUGACAUCUUAAAAUUCCUGCUGGCUGAGGAGAGACUGGUGCUUCAGGGGCAGCGCCCUCCCAUCCCCUCACGCCCCUUAGAGAGUGAACCGCAUCCACUGGCCUGGGUCCACAGGCCGCCUGCUGCACUGUGGGCAGGAACAGCCCGGGCCCUUGAGGAGAACAAGUGCAGGCCUGCAGCUGGAGAGGCGGAGCCAAGGGGAAGACAAAGGCCCGGGGCAGCAGGCCGACCUGCAGGAGUCACCGCCAGCCUGAAACCAGCUGUCCUUCGAUGGACACAGGCCACUGUCCUCAGGAUGGGAGAAGUGACACGUGUGUGAACCCGUGGCCUCAAGCCCGCACGCAGGAGAGGCACGCACUCUCUCUGUGACCUGUGGGGCUCCCCAUAACCCACGAUGAUCUAACAGGACAGCCCACAAAAGCAGCCCUCAGGUCCAGGAGCUGACGGCGUCUCUGACUUGUCUCUUCCCAGAGUGGCCGGCCAGGACUCUGCCCAGACAGGACAGAGCUUGGGAAUGCGGACAGACACCCGCAUCUCCAGUUGCCUCUCGGCCGUGGAAUCCACUCCCAGGGCCUCACCUCCUUGGACCCUCUCAGCGAGGCCUCGCUGUCUCCCACUACAUGUGGACACUGCUUCUCGAGCUGCGCCUGCACAGGCAUCAGGCCGCCGAGAACAUGUGCUGUGCGUCCACCCGCCCCGUGGACCACAUGCCUCCAUGUGCAACUUCCCACCUAAGAUCAGGCAGUGUUUACAUUUUCGGGAACUAGUCCCAGGGGCCUCUCCAGGCAGGACCACGGGGUCAGCAGACCCUUCUUCUGAGGCCCUCGACUCAUCAAUCAAAGGCAGAGGCUUCACACCCAGAUGCUUCCCUCCAGAUCAGCUGGUCCAAGAGAAAGCACCUUGAGCUACACAGGAAAAUCUAGGUUUUCCAGUAGCUGUGUUAAAAAACCAAAAAGCAACAUGGUAUUAAUUUUGAUAAUACAUGUUAUUUAACUCAAUGUACCCCAAAUAGGAUUACUUCAGCACGUAACCAAAUGUAAGGUUCUGCUGAGGCAUUUUGCCUUCUCUUCUCUUUGCUGCCUCUCCCGCUGGGGCACGUGUCACCCCUGCACAUAUCUCUCUGUGGAGGGCGUGUUUCGGGUCUCCACAGGCCAGGUGGCCAUUGGCCACCGACUGGACUUGUCACUUCACGCUGCCAGGCCCCCCUGGAUUCCCUACAUCAGCUUUGAAGCUAAACUUGCUUGACACAGCGUGGCGAGGGAGCCUUGUGGAACCUGUCCCAUGGGGACCCUGGGCCAG
ensembl:lncRNA